GACGAACGCUGGCGGCGUGCCUAAUACAUGCAAGUCGAACGCAGUGGGGACGGGUGAGUAACACGUGGGUAACCUCCCAUCAGAGGGGAUAACACUUGGAAACAGGUGCUAAACCGAUACUGAUCUAUGUACCCGCUGUGCAUUAGCUAGUUGGUGAGGUAACGGCUCACCAAGGCAACGAUGCAUAGACGGACUGAGAGGAUGAUCGGCCACACUGGGACUGAGACACGGCCCAGAAUCCUACGGGAGGCAGAAGUAGGGAAUCUUGGGCAAUGGACGAAAGUCUGACCGAGCAACGCCGCGUGAGUGAAGAAGGUUUUCGGAUCGUAAAACUCUGUUGUUGGAGAAGCGGUAUCUAACCAGAAAGCAACGGCUAACUACGUGCCAGCAGCCGCGGUAAUUC
rnacentral:rRNA from 1 species